rnacentral:lncRNA from 1 species
GUUGGUCGGAAUUCUCUCCCGAACCUCGUGGUGGUCUCGGAUUUUGCACAACACCAACAGAAAAGGUAGUUUAGGUUACGGACAGCCUGUUAAGUCGCCAGAAAAUUGCACGGCGACGAGGUCUUCUUCCCGGAAAUAGCUGGAAUGACGCACACUAUACUAUUCUCACCAAAGCUCUGAUACCAUGUGAGAAAGCACGGGAGAAGAAUAUAACUC